rnacentral:sRNA from 1 species
AAGGAGGCCUGAUGAUAACCUCAGAGUAUGCUCGGAGAUAACCAGCCAGGAGAACAUGUACAUUGGAUGAUGUCUUCCUCCACCAAGCCCAUACUGUUUCACCCAAACCAACAGACCACAGUAAUAAGAGGACAGGCAUCACUUAACUCACUGGCAAGAAAGCCCAGCAUACUCUGAUUCAGAAGGAUCGUGUUGGCCAACAAGUUAAGGCUCUGUUGUUGAGCCAUAAAGUCAACUAUAACUCGUCAUCCUGAAUCCUUUGUGACUUGUACUCAUUCCAGUGAGUUGCGUCCAUUUGUUCUGGUCUCAGCCUACUUCUCAAAACAAUGAUACAAAGGCACAGAGUGGGGAAAAGGUAAAUCAAGGCACUUUGCUAAAUUUGGGGGUCUCCGCUAAGCUGAGAGGGAGAAGUUGACACAGUACCCCACCGCUAACAAAGAAUUGAUAUACACUGGCAAAGGGAAAACCUGUUUUCUCCAAAGGAGUCUCACUGGGUAUAUUAACCUCACUUCAGGGCAGGCCCCUUUCCCGGGAGUCAUUGGCCAACACGAAAUGAGUUUAAUUGUGUUCU